UACAGAGACUGCGAGCGUUAUUCGGAUUCACUGGGCGUAAAGGGUGCGCAGGCGGCCGAGUGUGUGAGGUGUGAAAGCCCGGGGCUCAACCCCGGAAUUGCUCCUCAAACUACACGGCUAGAGCAUUGGAGAGGGUAGCAGAAUUCACGGUGUAGCAGUGAAAUGCGUAGAUAUCGUGAGGAAUACCAGAGGCGAAGGCGGCUACCUGGACAAUUGCUGACGCUCAGGCACGAAAGCGUGGGGAGCAAAAGGG
rnacentral:misc_RNA from 1 species